AUUUCAUUUUAAACAUUAACUUUAAUAAAAAAAAUUAAAUCUGUUCUUAUCAGUUUAAUAUCUGAUAUGUCCUCUAUCUGAGGACUAUAUAUUAAAUGGAUUUUUGGAACAGGGAGAUGGAAUAGGAGCUUUCUCCAUCCACUCCAUGCAUCAAGCUGGUAUUGCAGUACCUCCGGGAAUGGUGCACCUCCC
ensembl:snRNA U2 U2 spliceosomal RNA